rnacentral:tmRNA from 1 species
GGGGGUGUUUUUGGAUUCGACACUCAGUUUUAGGCGGUAUAAGCACGUCGUAGGCUCGGCUACGUUAUCAACGGAAACUUAAAAUUAAAUGCAAAAAACAAUCAAAAGAGCUCCAACAUGGAGUUCGCUCUUGCUGCGUAACUAACUAGUCAGCACGUCGCCCCAAGGUUUUCUGUUCCCUUGGCAAGCGGCGUCAGAAAAACAGACAACGCGACUUGAUUGCUCAGUAGAGUCGUUGUCAUCACGAGCUUAUCAAACGGCGGUUUGCAAGUGAACCAAAGGGCGAAACAUUCAAUCAUUUGCUAAACGUGUAGAAAGUGCCGAAGACGGCUGUUUGGACCGGGGUUCAAAUCCCCGCACUUCCACCA